rnacentral:rRNA from 1 species
UCAGGACGAACGCUGGCGGGCGUGCUUCAUACAUGCAAGUCGAACGAGAAUCUCUAGGCUUGCUAGAGAGGAAAGUGGCGGACGGGUGAGUAAUGUGUAGAGAAUCUGCCCUUUAGUGGGGGACAACAGUUGGAAACGACUGCUAAUACCCCAUAUGCGCGUACUUGAGAUAGUAUUCGUGAAAACUCCGGUGCUAAAGGAUGAGUCUGCAUCUGAUUAGCUAGUUGGCGGUGUAAUGGACCACCAAGGCGACGAUCAGUAGCUGGUUUGAGAGGAUGAUCAGCCACAAUGGGACUGAGACACGGCCCAUACUCCUACGGGAGGCAGCAGUAGGGAAUUUUGCGCAAUGGGGGAAACCCUGAACCGCAGCAACGCCGCGUGAUUGAAUAAGCCCUUCGGGGUGUAAAGAUCUGUCAGUUAGGGACGAAACUUGACGGUACCUACAGAGGAAGCAUCGGCUAACUCCGUGCCAGCCGCCGC